GGCCUAACACAUGCAAGUCGAGCGAGAAGCCAUCUUCGGAUGGUGGGCAGCGGCGGACGGGUGAGUAUCGCGUAGGGAUCUACCCUGGAGUGGGGGACAACCACUGGAAACGGUGGCUAAUACCGCAUACGCCCAUCGAGUAUGAUGCUUGGUGGGGAAAGAUUUAUUGCUCCGGGAUGUACCUGCGUCGGAUUAGCUAGUUGGUGAGGUAACGGCUCACCAAGGCAACGAUCCGUAGCUGGUUUGAGAGGAUGAUCAGCCACACUGGGACUGAGACACGGCCCAGACUCCUACGGGAGGCAGCAGUGGGGAAUAUUGCACAAUGGGCGCAAGCCUGAUGCAGCCAUGCCGCGUGAGUGAAGAAGGCCUUAGGGUUGUAAAGCUCUUUCAACGGUGAAGAUGAUGACGGUAGCCGUAGAAGAGGCCCCGGCUAACUCCGUGCCAGCAGCCGCGGUAAUACGGAGGGGGCGAGCGUUGUUCGGAAUUACUGGGCGUAAAGGGCACGUAGGCGGCGAUGCGGGUCAGGUGUGAAAGCCCCGGGCUUAACCUGGGAACUGCACUUGAAACUGCAUUGCUUGAGGACGGAAGAGGAGAAUGGAAUUCCCAG
rnacentral:rRNA from 1 species